GGGGGGCCGAGUAGGGAGGGAGCCCGGCGAGGGAGGAGCUGGAGGAGGGAGUGAGGGGGAGCGGCGGGCGCGGGAAGGGGAGCGCGGAGAAGGAGCCGCAGGACGCUGGGAGGGGCGGAGGCAGGUGCGGGAUCGCGAGGGCGCGAGCGGGAAGGGCCCGGCGGCGGGGCGGGCUGCCCCGGAGCUCGGCGGGGGUCGCGGCGGAGACAAGGCGGCCGCGGCGGGGAGAUGCCGCGCGAGGAAGUGGAUCGGGCGGGUACGCCGGGUGUGCGCACCUGCGCGCCGGGCAGCGGAUCUUCUGAACAUGUCCCCAUUCCGUGAGCCCACAGUGAUCUGUUUGUUUUGCCUGGUCCCAGCUCAUGCAUUCUUCAAGUCUUGGUAACCAGGAUGUUUUGUCUGUUCAGGCUCUAAACGAUCAGUGGGACAGGAACCGAAGUUAAGUAGCUCAGGAUGCAUCAAGAUGAACUUGGGAAAACCGCGAGCCGCUGUGCUGACUGGACUGCUUCUCUGAAUCAGCUGGAACUUCUUUUUGUGUCUAGUUUUAAAAGCUCCUCGGAAGCAAUCCUAAAUCCAGAAUCGUUUCAAUUAUUAUGAGGGGAAUUCUGAAGUUCUCAUUAAACACACGAAUGACUCAAGCUUUGAAAAGAGCCAGAUGCCACAGGCAAGAAUCCCAGGGCAUUGCCCACCUGGGUGUGAUCCCCUGAUAACUGUCUAACAAACUCAGCAUGUGUCCCCCGGGCAUGACCAUCUGCUGGGCAAAGCUCCAGGACCCUGAGACAUCCUGGAAUUCCUGUGGUUUAGGAAAGACCUUUAACUACCAGUGGUAGUUGUCUCAUCGUUCUUCAAAUAAUCUGGUCUUGUUUAUUAUUAUCAUUACUAUUUAAUUUUAUUUUAUUACAGCUGUACUUGGAGAAUAGUCCGGUCUUGAGGCCUUUUCACUGUGGUCUGUUCUAGUGUAUGGCUCCCACCAGUGUGAAGCAGAAGGAUGACUUUGCUCUGUUGUCAGGACAACCUUGAAGGAAGGAGCCAAAUGUGUGGAGGUCUGUG
rnacentral:lncRNA from 1 species